CUGAUUCCAAUGUAUGGCCCUCCAUAUGUCCUUAAACCACAGCCCAGAAUCCAGUUCAACAGCCACUUGGUCCUUUUUGAUAUAUACAAUGCGUAGUGAGUCUAUGUUCCUCCCCUACUAGGACCUCUAUUACAGAGCCUAAAACUGGGUCUGGAAAUGGACUGGUCCCACCUACUCAUUAAUAGGCCAGGGUAUGUGUUAAGCAGAGAUUGCUGCUGUUGACUGGGGGUGAAGGUGUAUCCAGGUGAACUACAGCUCCCAGUGUUCCUGACAGCCAUUGUAGCUCAGCAACUGAUCAAGACAGCAGAAAUUUUAGAUUUUAAAUUGGCUGCAGGCUUCCCAUUCACAUGGAUUUCUUUAAGGUUUUAGGAAUCAUAGGAAACAGUGUUUCUCGGAUGGAAACAUUAUCUUAGAAAUAAACCCUAAUCUCAGACAGAAGACGAUACUCUUUACAAUUUCCACUGGGUCAGCAACACGCUCCUUUUCUUUCCCUCUUCCUUGAAGGUUUUUAGGGUUGCCUUUUAAAAAUGACACCAUUCAAUUCAGUUGUUUCUCGUAGGGACAUGGCACAAAGGGACCCAAACCAUCGAGGUCAAAAAAAUGUAAAGUGACUGAGAUAUCAGAUGGUUGUAUGAAUAUUAAAUGGGCUUUGUUCAUCAUUUAUACAGCCACAUGCCUAACGCCAUGUUGUCUUCAAGUACAGGUUCAUCAAGAGCCAAUUCAUGAAUAUCCCCGCCUGGCUACUGUUUAAUUAUAGCAGGAGAAAGGGAGCAUGGCUAUAAACGUCCUACUAAGAGCCUCAUUUUCCAAUAGAUUGCAAGUCAUGCUCUAAUGUCCAAUGAACUAUGAAUCCAAUAAAUGUUCCUUGAUGUUUUUGCUUA